AUAUACGUCACACACAUGUCGUCCGAAAAGACUGCGCUGUACACCGGUACACGACGCGCUGUUACGCGCGGCGUCCGAUACCGUACGCCGUACGUAUUCCUACAUGUUCGGGAUGUUUAGUUGAUAGAUGCCUUUCAAGUUUUGAAAAUUUCAUACAUUCGUUGGAUAGCGUUUCGAAACAAAUCACACACUGCGGCAUAUAGGCUCCUCCUCAGUACCAAAAAAUACGAACCC